GACGAACGCUGGCGGCGUGCCUAAUACAUGCAAGUAGAACGCUGAAGGAGGAGCUUGCUUCUCUGGAUGAGUGGCGAACGGGUGAGUAACGCGUAGGUAACCUGCCUGGUAGCUGGGGAUAACUAUUGGAAACGAUAGCUAAUACCGCAUAAGAGUAGAUGUCGCAUGACGUUGGCUUGAAAGGUGCAAUUGCAUCGGUACGAGAUGGACCUGCGUUGUUUUAGCGAGUUGUUGAGGGAACGGAUCACCAUGGCGAGGAUACGUAGCCGACCGGCGAGGGGGGUCGGCCGGACUGGGAGGGAGACACGGCCCAUAGUGCCAGGGGAGGCAGCAGUAGGGCAUCGGCGGCAAUCGGUGGAAGUCUGACCGAGCAACGCCGAGUGAGUGAAGAAGGUUUUCGGGUCGUAAAGCUCUGUUGUAAGGGAAGAACGAGUGUGAGAGUGGAAAGUUCACACUGUGACGGUAACUUAUAAGAAAGCGACGGCUAACUACGUG
rnacentral:rRNA from 1 species